GCCAGUGUGGCUUUAUGGCUUGGGCACUGGACUGUGACUCUGGAGACCAGGGUUCGAAUCCCUGCUUGGCCA